rnacentral:rRNA from 1 species
CCUACGGGUGGCUGCAGUGAGGAAUAUUGGUCAAUGGGCGCGAGCCUGAACCAGCCAAGUAGCGUGAAGGAUGACUGCCCUACGGGUUGUAAACCUCUUUUAUAAAGGAAUAAAGUGAGGCACGUGACCCUUUUUGUAUGUACUUUAUGAAUCAGGAACGGCUAACUCCGCGCCAGCAGCCGCGGUAAUACGGAGGAUCCGAGCGUUAUCCGGAUUUAGUGGGUUUAAAGGGAGCGUAGAUGGGUUGUUAAGUCAGUUGUGAAAGUUUGCGGCUCAACCGUAAAAUUGCAAUUGAUACUGGCAGUCUUGAGUACAGUUGAGGUAGGCGGAAUUCGUGGUGUAGCGGUGAAAUGCGUAGAUAUCACGAAGAACUCCGAUUGCGAAGGCAGCUUACUAAACUGCCACUGACAUUGAUGCUCGAAAGUGUGGGUAGCAAACAGGAUUAGAUACCCUGGUAGUC